AUUCCAGCUCCAAUAGCGUAUAUUAAAGUUGUUGCAGUUAAAACGCUCGUAGUCGGAUUUCGGGGCGGGCCGACCGGUCUGCCGAUGGGUAUGCACUGGCCGGCGCGUCCUUCCACCCGGAGACCGCGCCUACUCUUAACUGAGCGGGCGCGGGAGACGGGUCUUUUACUUUGAAAAAAUCAGAGUGUUUCAAGCAGGCAGUCGCUCUUGCAUGGAUUAGCAUGGGAUAAUGAAAUAGGACUCUGGUGCUAUUUUGUUGGUUUCUAGUACUGAAGUAAUGAUUGAUAGGGAUAGUUGGGGGUGCUAGUAUUGGCCGGCCAGAGGUGGAAUUCUUGGAUUCGCUCAAGACUAACUUAUGCGAAAGCAUUCACCAAGGAUGUCUUCAUCG
rnacentral:rRNA from 1 species